UAAUACGUAGGGUGCGAGCGUUAAUCGGAAUUACUGGGCGUAAAGCGUGCGCAGGCGGUUUUGUAAGUCAGAUGUGAAAUCCCCGGGCUCAACCUGGGAACUGCGUUUGAAACUACAAGGCUAGAGUGUAGCAGAGGGGGGUAGAAUUCCACGUGUAGCAGUGAAAUGCGUAGAGAUGUGGAGGAAUACCAAUGGCGAAGGCAGCCCCCUGGGUUAACACUGACGCUCAUGCACGAAAGCGUGGGGAGCAAACAGGAUUAGAUACCCUGGUAGUCCACGCCCUAAACGAUGUCUACUAGUUGUUGGUGGAGUAAAAUCCAUUAGUAACGCAGCUAACGCGUGAAGUAGACCGCCUGGGGAGUACGGUCGCAAGAUUAAAACUUAAAUGAAUUGACGG
rnacentral:rRNA from 1 species